UACAGAGGGGCAAGCGUUAUUCGGAAUUACUGGGCGUAAAGCGCGUGUAGGUGGCGAGGCAAGUCGGGUGUGAAAGCCCUGGGCUCAACCCAGGAAGUGCACUCGAUACUGCCUAGCUAGAGUCCCGGAGAGGUUGGUGGAACUCUCGGUGUAGAGGUGAAAUUCGUAGAUAUCGAGAAGAACACCGGUGGCGAAGGCGGCCAACUGGACGGUGACUGACACUGAGACGCGAAAGCGUGGGGAGCAAACAGG
rnacentral:rRNA from 1 species